UAUGAGAGAAAAUUAAAGGUAGGUGCCUUCUCCCUUAUAUCUUCUUUCUUACAACAACCAAGAGUUGGUUGUUAGAAAAUUCUCCUCUCUCCUUGUCCAAGAGUUAGACAUGUCUUCCUCUCCCUCUCUCCCCUAACAUGUCCAAGAGUUGGACAUAAUAAAAUCAGAUUUAAUCUGAUUUUUAUUCUUGGUCCAUAAGAUGGACGGUUCUCCUCUUCUUCUCCACAGAUCUAGUCC
rnacentral:lncRNA from 1 species